ACAUCCAGAGAACUUAGCAGNGAUGCUUUGGUGCCUUCGGGAACUCUGAGACAGGUGCUGCAUGGCUGUCGUCAGCUCGUGUUGUGAAAUGUUGGGUUAAGUCCCGCAACGAGCGCAACCCUUAUCCUUUGUUGCCAGCGGUUCGGCCGGGAACUCAAAGGAGACUGCCGGUGAUAAACCGGAGGAAGGUGGGAUGACGUCAAGUCAUCAUGGCCCUUACGGCCAGGGCUACACACGUGCUACAAUGGCGCAUACAAAGAGAAGCGACCUCGCGAGAGCAAGCGGACCUCAUAAAGUGCGUCGUAGUCCGGAUUGGAGUCUGCAACUCGACUCCAUGAAGUCGGAAUCGCUAGUAAUCGUAGAUCAGAAUGCUACGGUGAAUACGUUCCCGGGCCUUGUACACACCGCCCGUCACACCAUGGGAGUGGGUUGCAAAAGAAGUAGGUAGCUUAACCUUCGGGAGGGCGCUUACCACUUUGUGAUUCAUGACUGGGGUGAAGUCGUAACAAGGUAGGCGUAGCGAG
rnacentral:rRNA from 1 species